GCAGACGCGCGCGGGGCCCCGCUGCCGGGGAGGGCGCGCCGCGGGGAGAGCCGGGCCAUUGUGUGGCGGGCGCCGGCCGGGCGCUUUUGUGCCGGCUCCCCUCCGCCGGCGCGCUCGGGCCCGCUGGGCGCCGCCCUCCACGCCGUCCCCGCGCCGGCCCGGGCGCCCCCCGCUCCUCCCCGCCGGCCUCGCCGUGGGGCGGGGACCGCGGGCGCUGCGCCUCCCCGGGCCGGCGUCGGGGGCGCUGUGGCCCUGCGGCCGUCUCCGCGGGGCUCGGCUCGGCUCGGCUCGCGCCGGGAGAGCAGGGGGACCCGGAAACGGCGAGCGCGCCCGGGGCGCCGCGGAGAGCCUCGGUUUCGCGGACGCGCGGGAAGGGGUGCCGGCUGGUCCCCCGGCCCGGGCCGCCCCUCCUCGGGUCUCAACCCCCUUUCUCUGUCCAUCGCCUCCUCCCCUCCUCUCUCCCGGUCCCUCCAUCCGUCCUCUUUCGCUGUCGCCUCUCCCUUCCCUAUAUAGUUGUCUCACCUCUCCCCGGCUCUGUAUUUCCACGCGCCUCACUGCAUCCUCCUGUUUCUCUGUAUAUUCCCAUCUUCUGUUUUUCUCUCUUCCUGUCUCAUCUCCUCUCUCUAGUUCCUUUACACCUCUGUCUUCUCUCUUUCUCUCUACCCGCGGCUCCUGCCUCUAGCUCCUGUCCUGGGGGCGGCAAGAGAGCUGACUGGAACCAAGCCUUUGUGCAGUUUUUGGGGAGGGUCUGCGAUCGGCGACUGCACAGUUGGCAGCAUUUCCCACGAGGGCGCGCACGCGGGCACCGACACGCACUGAACUCAGGCUUUGCUGCGGUUCACCUCCCCACCCUGCCUGUCAUGGCCCAUAAAUGCUUUGGAAAGGUUUACCUUGGGGCCCGUCCGCAGCCAGGGAGAGGGUGGUUCCAGUGGUUUGAUGGCCACAUCACUCCUCCGGGGACCCCGCCCAGGAGCCCAACAGGUGGAUGGGCUGAGACCAGGCUGAGACCUUGGCAUCUUCGGCACCUGGGCGCUAGGUGGCCUGCUGGCCUCCUCUGCUGCCACAUUUCUCAGGGGCUGGUCACCAAGGCUACCGGGACAGCUCUUGCUCCAGGCUCUGCCCAGGUGUGAGUCACCUCCUCAUCCCAGACCUGGCCCAGGAGGUGGGGAGAGCUGACCCUGGGGUGCUUCUCCAUCGGCCCAGGGAUGAGGACAAGGCAAGGGGCUCCCCAGGCUGGGGGCCGCUCCGCCGUCAGCUUGAUCCCUCAGGUCCAGUUGGCUGCAGGGGCCUGGAGGAGAACGAGGCUUCAGUGCAGUGUCGCUGAGGGCUGGGGCCCUUGCAGGUCUGUGUCUUGUUCUCCAGCCCUUUCAGUUAUGCUCUUAAAUAGCUUGCUAAGCCAUGGUAUGGGGCUGAUCAUAUUUCUAUAAAACCUACUAGGGGUGGGGAACGGAGCACCCUAAAUUUGAGGGAGACGGCAAGAUGCAGAAAGAGCCCUGACUUUUGAAUAAAAGAUAUUUAUGGAGUGCUUUGUAAACCGUAAUGGGUCAAGCGAAUGUAAGUUGGUUCUCUAAAUGCCUGUAUUUAUACGUAUGUGAGUAUAGACGCGCACACACCCCCUGAGCUGUCCCCUGGGGCUCAUGGUGGGGUGGGGACUGGGAGGUCCGGCUGGAGGGCACUGCGACGGGCUUGCAUUGGCUCAGAGCGUGAUCCUGCGACCCCAGUGUGCAGCCACACUUCCUCCAGGCUUCAGAGACCCAUCCAUUAGCUCCUAUCAGUCUGCACGUCUCACACGCAGAUGAGAGA